CGGGACACGUGGUAUCCUGUCUGAAUAUGGGGGGACCAUCCUCCAAGGCUAAAUACUCCUGACUGACCGAUAGUGAACCAGUACCGUGAGGGAAAGGCGAAAAGAACCCCGGCGAGGGGAGUGAAAAAGAACCUGAAACCGUGUACGUACAAGCAGUGGGAGCACGCUUAGGCGUGUGACUGCGUACCUUUUGUAUAAUGGGUCAGCGACUUAUAUUCUGUAGCAAGGUUAACCGAAUAGGGGAGCCGAAGGGAAACCGAGUCUUAACUGGGCGUUAAGUUGCAGGGUAUAGACCCGAAACCCGGUGAUCUAGCCAUGGGCAGGUUGAAGGUUGGGUAACACUAACUGGAGGACCGAACCGACUAAUGUUGAAAAAUUAGCGGAUGACUUGUGGCUGGGGGUGAAAGGCCAAUCAAACCGGGAGAUAGCUGGUUCUCCCCGAAAGCUAUUUAGGUAGCGCCUCGUGAAUUCAUCUCCGGGGGUAGAGCACUGUUUCGGCAAGGGGGUCAUCCCGACUUACCAACCCGAUGCAAACUGCGAAUACCGGAGAAUGUUAUCACGGGAGACACACGGCGGGUGCUAACGUCCGUCGUGAAGAGGGAAACAACCCAGACCGCCAGCUAAGGUCCCAAAGUCAUGGUUAAGUGGGAAACGAUGUGGGAAGGCCCAGACAGCCAGGAUGUUGGCUUAGAAGCAGCCAUCAUUUAAAGAAAGCGUAAUAGCUCACUGGUCGAGUCGGCCUGCGCGGAAGAUGUAACGGGGCUAAACCAUGCACCGAAGCUGCGGCAGCGACGCUGAUGCGUUGUUGGGUAGGGGAGCGUUCUGUAAGCCUGUGAAGGUGUGCUGUGAGGCAUGCUGGAGGUAUCAGAAGUGCGAAUGCUGACAUAAGUAACGAUAAAGCGGGUGAAAAGCCCGCUCGCCGGAAGACCAAGGGUUCCUGUCCAACGUUAAUCGGGGCAGGGUGAGUCGACCCCUAAGGCGAGGCCGAAAGGCGUAGUCGAUGGGAAACAGGUUAAUAUUCCUGUACUUGGUGUUACUGCGAAGGGGGGACGGAGAAGGCUAUGUUGGCCGGGCGACGGUUGUCCCGGUUUAAGCGUGUAGGCUGGUUUUCCAGGCAAAUCCGGAAAAUCAAGGCUGAGGCGUGAUGACGAGGCACUACGGUGCUGAAGCAACAAAUGCCCUGCUUCCAGGAAAAGCCUCUAAGCAUCAGGUAACAUCAAAUCGUACCCCAAACCGACACAGGUGGUCAGGUAGAGAAUACCAAGGCGCUUGAGAGAACUCGGGUGAAGGAACUAGGCAAAAUGGUGCCGUAACUUCGGGAGAAGGCACGCUGAUAUGUAGGUGAAGCGACUUGCUCGUGGAGCUGAAAUCAGUCGAAGAUACCAGCUGGCUGCAACUGUUUAUUAAAAACACAGCACUGUGCAAACACGAAAGUGGACGUAUACGGUGUGACGCCUGCCCGGUGCCGGAAGGUUAAUUGAUGGGGUCAGCGCAAGCGAAGCUCUUGAUCGAAGCCCCGGUAAACGGCGGCCGUAACUAUAACGGUCCUAAGGUAGCGAAAUUCCUUGUCGGGUAAGUUCCGACCUGCACGAAUGGCGUAAUGAUGGCCAGGCUGUCUCCACCCGAGACUCAGUGAAAUUGAACUCGCUGUGAAGAUGCAGUGUACCCGCGGCAAGACGGAAAGACCCCGUGAACCUUUACUAUAGCUUGACACUGAACAUUGAGCCUUGAUGUGUAGGAUAGGUGGGAGGCUUUGAAGUGUGGACGCCAGUCUGCAUGGAGCCGGCCUUGAAAUACCACCCUUUAAUGUUUGAUGUUCUAACGUUGACCCGUGAUCCGGGUUGCGGACAGUGUCUGGUGGGUAGUUUGACUGGGGCGGUCUCCUCCUAAAGAGUAACGGAGGAGCACGAAGGUUGGCUAAUCCUGGUCGGACAUCAGGAGGUUAGUGCAAUGGCAUAAGCCAGCUUGACUGCGAGCGUGACGGCGCGAGCAGGUGCGAAAGCAGGUCAUAGUGAUCCGGUGGUUCUGAAUGGAAGGGCCAUCGCUCAACGGAUAAAAGGUACUCCGGGGAUAACA
rnacentral:rRNA from 1 species